GAGUCUUUUCUUUCCUCCCGACCAACUCCUAAAUGGAGGUGAAAUCCACCCCAUCGAUCAACCGAUGGCCAACCAUAGCUAAGGCUGCGACAGUGUAGCCCGAGGAACCCAAACUGACAUCGGUGGUGACCACCGGCACCCAAAAAAGCCAAAACAAAAGGGCUGAACACAAAAAAAAAGAGGGGAGACUCUGAUCUCGAUUUUUCGGUGAAGUCGGC
rnacentral:lncRNA from 1 species